GGAGCUACCAACUGUGGGUGUCUCUGCAGCCUUGGGGCCCAUCCCACUGUGAUAGGGGAUAGUACUGCCCAAGUCCUGCCUCCUAGGGGUCAGUCUGCUCAGGGACUGAGGCCACCACUCUGCCCAGUGACUGAGGAUGGGGCACUUGGCUUAUCAUCGCUUCUCUACCACAUCCAAGGCAACACCCAGCCCGACGCCCGCGGCGCCCAGCCCGUCCCUGGAACCCCAGCCAGGCAUGCCAUUCCCGAGGUGCCUCCUCUUCAUCCGCGAUGCGGGCCUCUUGUCCGGCCACUCUGAGAUAACAGGCGGCGAGGAGCGCCAGCGUGGGGCGCCGUGGACUCCGGCGUCCGGGCCAGCCCUAGGGACCCCAGGCGGCCAAGCCUGUGCCCAGACUCCGGCCCAGAGCCAACUCUGCCUCGCCGCUGGAGCGGUUGCCGGGGCAACGCGUUUGCGUCAAAGAAAGUGGCGCAGUGCCCGGGCUGCAGGGAGUAGGAGGCGGAGUCUUGGCGCUGGGCCAAUAGAAUUUCAGGGACCUAGCAAAGUGGCGUGGCCUUGGCUUUCGCUUCAGCCAAUGGGAUUGUUAUUGUCCAGGCAGCGAGAGUAGAGCCGCACCCCUUUUAAAGGGACCGCACACAUCUUUUUGUGGUCUGUCUGCCUCCUAGUUCAAGGUGGAAGGCACAGCCUGCAGUAUGAAGACCGGUUCGCAGACCGGUUCCGGCUCUUCCUGAGCCGCAGUUUUCGCCAGAUGCUCAUAGCAAGGGCAUGGAGGCAACGCAUUCAGAGCCUGUGGCUUCCGUGAAGGGUGCCCCUGCAUUUAUGUGGCGCUACAAUAUGCAACUGGACCCUAUGUAGCACCUGCCCACUCUCCCUGGGGGUCACCCGGUCCUGAGGUUGUAGUGCCUUGAGAUUGCAAUGCCAGCACGUACCACAGGAGACCACACGGCAGGUGGGGGGCCGGAUUUGUUCCCCAGGCCUGGGCUCCUACGCCUACCCCUCUUCUCCUUACAGGGACCCUUACCCACCUGAAGGGGCAGAGAGGUUGGCUCCACCCGGCCUCAGGUCUCAAUGCCUGGCACUAUCCCUACAGGUGGUGGUAAUGAGGAUCUGGACCCUGUGGAUUCUGGGGGGCGGCGACCACAACUUCAAGUCCUCCCAUGGUGGACACACCCUCCUCUCCACUCUCCUGCCCCCUCCGUGUCUCAAUCCUGGACUGCCUCCCUGGGGAGGCCUUUGGGGGUAUGGAGAUUGCCUGAGGCCAGGACCCUUGCCAAGGCUAGCCUCAAGGAAUAGGGCUGGCAUCUGGAGGGGAGGCAGGACCCAGAGAUUUGGGGAGAAGAGGGGCAAUUAGCCUGGUAGGGUUCCUGGUCCAUAGCAGGUUUCGAGAUGUGGACCCAGCUUCCCCCUGGUGGCCCUACUUCCUGCCCCCUCAUCACCCCCCACCCCAGGACCUUUGGACGCCACUAUCUUGGGGUGUCCUGCUUGGAUCCUGUUCCCUUGUUCCUUAUGUCCAUGAUGUAAGACAUUAGCUUUAGGGAAACUGGGUUGGAGAACUCUUAGUAUAAUUUUGCAACUUUUCUGUAAGUUUAAAACUAGUUCAAUAUAAGUAAAAUGAAAGAGAGAGCACACACCUAAUGUUAAGUAAUUUCUAAACAUUGUUGUGUGUCCCUACUCCCGCUGACCCCUAAAAUAUGACCAUCACAGCCCUUCAUGCAGUGGACAUGCCUCCCAGGCGUCACAGCCUCCAGCUCGUCUGCAAGCAGUCUUCCUGCUUCCCCCCAGGUGUGCUGAGAAGAGCUGGCUUCGGUCGAGGAGGGCUGUGGGCUGUCAGUGGUCUCCACGCUCCCCCUGGGCCCAGGGCCAGCGGGAAGCUUUCCCAUGGAUCCAGGAUUCUUUGGGGUUUGUGCAGAUACUACUGGGGUGGGCUGUGAAGAUGGGGGGAGGGCCCACCUGCCAAAGAUGUGGCACCUCUAGAAGCUGGAAAAAGCAAGAAAAAGAUUCUCCCCUGGAACUUCCAGAAAGAACCAGCCUGGCCACACCUGGACUGUAGCCUUUUGAGGACAUCUAGCCUCCAGAUGUGAGGUGAUAAAAGUCCGUGGUUUUAAGCCACCAAGUUUUGGUGAUUUGCCACAGCAGCCCUAGGAAACCACCGUGCUGUCUCUCCAGGCUGAUCCUAAGGGAUGAUGGUGCGUAGGUCUUCUGUUGCUGCUUUGACAUAUAUAGGCAUGGCUCCUCGGCAGCUUUUGAGGACUGGACUGAUGGAUGAGGAUGCUCAUUUGACAGAAGGUGAACUGGUCCACCCUCUCUGGGCCUUUCCUAAAGCACUCCUAGUGGAAUGCUUGUUCUUUCUUGGCCUGGCUGGGUGCUCAGAACGCAUGAUGGCCCCCAGAGUUGAACCAGAGGAACAGGCAGAAAGAUACGCUCCCACACAUGGGUCAGACGGUGGGGGGAGAACAGAGGUUCCAAACGAUGCAGGGUGUCUGCAGGGACACUGGGCUUGGGGCCACCUUCCUGCAUCAUGGCUGACAGGGACCGUGUUGUGGUGCCCCAGCCAGUCUCGGGGCCCAUCUAUCACUGAGGUCAAGACCAGAGCCUAGCCCUGGCCGGUUUAGCUCAAUGGAUAGACCAUCUGACUGCGGAUCAAAGGGUCCCAGGUUCUAUUCCAGCCGUGGGCAAACUACGGCCCGUGGGCCGGAUCCGGCCCGUUUGAAAUGAAUAAAACUAAAAAAAAAAAAAAAGACCGUACCCUUUUAUGUAAUGAUGUUUACUUUGAAUUUAUAUUAGUUCACACAAACACUCCAUCCAUGCUUUUGUUCCGGCCCUCCGGUCCAGUUUAAGAACCCAUUGUGGCCCUCGAGUCAAAAAGUUUGCCCACCCCUGUAUUCCAUACAGUCAAGGACACGUAUCUCAGUUGCAGGCUCCUCCUCCCCAGCCUAGACCCUGGUUCAGCGUGUGCAGGAGGCAACCAAUCGAUGUGUUUCUCUCACAUCGAUAUUUCUCUGUCUUUCCCUCUCUCUUCCACUCCCUUUAAAAAAAAAAAGUCAAUGGAAAAAUAUCCUUGGGUGAGGAUUAAAAAAAAACAA